UUAAGUCAGGGGUGAAAGACGGUAGCUUAACUAUCGCAGUGCCUUUGAUACUGAUGGGCUUGAAUACACUUGAGGUAGGCGGAAUGUGACAAGUAGCGGUGAAAUGCAUAGAUAUGUCACAGAACACCAAUUGCGAAGGCAGCUUACUAAAGUGUGAUUGACGCUGAGGCACGAAAGCGUGGGGAUCAAACAGGAUUAGAUACCCUGGUAGUCCACGCCCUAAACGAUGAACACUCGAUGUUGGCGAUAUACGGUCAGCGUCUAAGCGAAAGCGUUAAGUGUUCCACCUGGGGAGUACGCCCGCAAGGGUGAAACUCAAAGGAAUUGACGGGGGCCCGCACAAGCGGAGGAGCAUGUGGUUUAAUUCGAUGAUACGCGAGGAACCUUACCCGGGCUUGAAAGUUAGUGAAUGAGACAGAGACGUCUCAGUCCUUCGGGACACGAAACUAGGUGCUGCAUGGCUGUCGUCAGCUCGUGCCGUGAGGUGUUGGGUUAAGUCCCGCAACGAGCGCAACCCCUGUGAAUAGUUGCCAGCACGUAAUGGUGGGGACUCUAUUCAGACUGCCUAUGCAAAUAGAGAGGAAGGAGGGGACGACGUCAAGUCAUCAUGGCCCUUACGUCCGGGGCUACACACGUGCUACAAUGGAUGGUACAGCGGGCAGCUACCUGGCAACAGGAUGCCAAUCUCGUAAAGCCAUUCACAGUUCGGAUCGGGGUCUGCAACUCGACCCCGUGAAGUUGGAUUCGCUAGUAAUCGCAUAUCAGCAAUGAUGCGGUGAAUACGUUCCCGGGCCUUGUACACACCGCCCGUCAAGCCAUGGAAGCUGGAAGUGCCUGAAGUGCGUAACCGUAAGGAGC
rnacentral:rRNA from 1 species